rnacentral:rRNA from 1 species
UACGUAGGGUGCAGGCGUUAAUCGGAAUUACUGGGCGUAAAGCGUGCGCAGGCGGUUUCUUAAGUCAGAUGUGAAAGCCCCGGGCUUAACCUGGGAACUGCGUUUGAAACUGGGAGACUUGAGUGUGGCAGAGGGGGGUGGAAUUCCGCGUGUAGCAGUGAAAUGCGUAGAGAUGCGGAGGAACACCGAUGGCGAAGGCAGCCCCCUGGGCCAACACUGACGCUCAGGCACGAAAGCGUGGGGAGCAAACAGG